GUUCAGUGAUGAUUUUUUGUUCCUCCAGUGUGAUGUUCUUGUUUUUCUCUUUGUCUCUGCAGGCUAAGUCUGGAUACUGUUCAGACUUAUAAUUCUUACAGCAAACGUACCACUCUCCAUCGAUUAACACAGCUACAACCCACAGCAGACUGAUGAAAGCUGCCUUGAAAAAGUGAUUCAACAAAACAAGGCAAAACUUCCAUCUGCAACAGCAUGUACAGCAUCCACUACAUGAAUAACAGCAUCCUCCACCGGCUCCUUCUACACCAGCUUGUCCUCCACCGGCUCCUUCUACACCAGCUUGUCCUCCACCGGCUCCUUCUUCACCAGCUUGUCCUCCACCGGCUCCUUCUUCACCAGCUUGUCCUCCACCGGCUCCUUCUUCACCAGCUUGUCCUCCACCGGCUCCUUCUUCACCAGCUUGUCCUCCACCGGCUCCUUCUUCACCAGCUUGUCCUCCACCGGCUCCUUCUUCACCAGCUUGUCCUCCACCGGCUCCUUCUGCAGCUGCUUGUCCUCCACCGGCUCCUUCUACAGCUGCUUGUCCUCCACCGGCUCCUUCUACAGCUGCUUGUCCUCCACCGGCUCCUUCUGCAGCUGCUUGUCCUCCACCGGCUCCUUCUGCAGCUGCUUGUCCUCCACCGGCUCCUUCUACACCAGCUUGUCCUCCACCGGCUCCUUCUACACCAGCUUGUUCUCCACCGGCUCCUUCUACACCAGCUUGUUCUCCACCGGCUCCUUCUACACCAGCUUGUCCUCCACAUGUGCAUACACAUGUGUAUUUGCAGACUCUCUGAAAUGUCUUGUCCAUCCAGAGUUGUAAAAAUAAUAGGAUCAAAAUUGGCAAAAUCAUGUAUAAGACGCAGGAUAUAUAUACUUUAUCACAUGAGCACUGCAAAUCAUAGCCGAGCACAACAUUGUAAACAAAAAUCACAAUGAAUGCGAUGUAGGGGCCGAGUUGUUGGAGAGCAAACUUUGGGAAGACGCCCUUCAUGUUUGGUGCCAUGUUUGCAUCUGCUGGUUUCUGCUGCUGGUCGCC
rnacentral:lncRNA from 1 species